rnacentral:misc_RNA from 1 species
CGCUCGACCAUCACUUCCCGG